rnacentral:misc_RNA from 1 species
UUCAGUGAAGCAGUACAGGAAUUUAGUAUGCAAAAGAGUAUGUGUGAUCACUCAGUAUUUUAUAGACAAUCUGAGGCUGGUCUAAUUCUCGUGAUAGUCUGUGUGGAUGACAUUUUCAUUACUAGGAGUAACUCUGCAGGUAUUUCAUCUCUUAGAACCUUCCUCCAAACCUAGUUUCAAACUAAAGAUUUGGGAUUGUUAAAGUAUUUAUUGGGUAUUGAAGUUAUGAGAAGU